UACGUAGGGUGCGAGCGUUAAUCGGAAUUACUGGGCGUAAAGCGUGCGUAGGCGGUUUCUUAAGUCUGCUGUGAAAUCCCCGGGCUCAACCUGGGAAUGGCAGUGGAUACUGGGAGGCUAGAGUGUGUCAGAGGAUGGUGGAAUUCCCGGUGUAGCGGUGAAAUGCGUAGAGAUCGGGAGGAACACCCGUGGCGAAGGCGGCCACCUGGGCCGACCCUGACGCUGAGGCGCGAAGGCGUGGGGAGCGAACGGG
rnacentral:rRNA from 1 species